UGGGGAAUAUUGCGCAAUGGGGGGAACCCUGACGCAGCCAUGCCGCGUGAAUGAAGAAGGCCUUAGGGUUGUAAAGUUCUUUCGGUAUUGAGGAAGGUUGAUGUGUUAAUAGCACAUCAAAUUGACGUUAAAUACAGAAGAAGCACCGGCUAACUCCGUGCCAGCAGCCGCGGUAAUACGGAGGGUGCGAGCGUUAAUCGGAAUAACUGGGCGUAAAGGGCACGCAGGCGGUUAUUUAAGUGAGGUGUGAAAGCCCCGGGCUUAACCUGGGAAUUGCAUCUCAGACUGGGUAACUAGAGUACUUUAGGGAGGGGUAGAAUUCCACGUGUAGCGGUGAAAUGCGUAGAGAUGUGGAGGAAUACCGAAGGCGAAGGCAGCCCCUUGGGAAUGUACUGACGCUCAUGUGCGAAAGCGUGGGGAGCAAACAGGAUUAGAUACCCUGGUAGUCCACGCUGUAAACGCUGUCGAUUUGGGGGUUGGGGUUUAACUCUGGCGCCCGUAGCUAACGUGAUAAAUCGACCGCCUGGGGAGUACGGCCGCAAGGUUA
rnacentral:rRNA from 1 species